rnacentral:rRNA from 1 species
UACGUAGGGUGCAAGCGUUGUCCGGAAUCAUUGGGCGUAAGCGCGCGUAGGUGGUCAUGUAAGUCCGCUGUGAAAGUCAAAGGCUCAACCUUUGAAAGCCGGUGGAUACUGCAUGACUAGAGUACGGAAGAGGCGAGUGGAAUUCCUGGUGUAGCGGUGGAAUGCGCAGAUAUCAGGAGGAACACCAAUAGCGAAGGCAGCUCGCUGGGACGUUACUGACACUGAGGCGCGAAGGCGUGGGGAGCGAACAGG